rnacentral:rRNA from 1 species
GAUAAACGCUAGCGGCAGGCUUAACACAUGCAAGUCGAGGGGCAGCAUAGAUUGUAGCAAUACAAUUGGUGGCGACCGGCGCACGGGUGCGUAACGCGUAUGCAACCUACCCGUCACAGGGGGAUAAUCCGGAGAAAUCUGGUCUAAUACCCCAUAACAUAUGGAUCGGCAUCGGUUCAUGUUGAAAUUUUCGGAGGUGACGGAUGGGCAUGCGUAGCAUUAGAUUGUUGGUGAGGUAACGGCUCACCAAGGCGACGAUGCUUAGGGGGACUGAGAGGUUUUCCCCCCACACUGGUACUGAGACACGGACCAGACUCCUACGGGAGGCAGCAGUGAGGAAUAUUGGUCAAUGGGCGCAAGCCUGAACCAGCCAUGCCGCGUGCAGGAUGACAGCUCUAUGAGUUGUAAACUGCUUUUGUACGAGGGUAAAGUGGGUUACGUGUAACCUUUUGAAAGUAUCGUACGAAUAAGGAUCGGCUAACUCCGUGCCAGCAGCCGCAGUAA